GUGGGGAAUAUUGGACAAUGGGCGCAAGCCUGAUCCAGCCAUGCCGCGUGAGUGAUGAAGGCCUUAGGGUUGUAAAGCUCUUUCAGUAGGGAAGAUAAUGACGGUACCUACAGAAGAAGCCCCGGCUAACUUCGUGCCAGCAGCCGCGGUAAUACGAAGGGGGCUAGCGUUGUUCGGAUUUACUGGGCGUAAAGCGCACGUAGGCGGAUUGGUCAGUUAGAGGUGAAAUCCUGAAGCUCAACUUCGGAACUGCCUUUAAUACUGCCAGUCUCGAGUCAGGAAGAUGUGAGUGGAACUCCUAGUGUAGAGGUGGAAUUCGUAGAUAUUAGGAAGAACACCAGUGGCGAAGGCGGCUCACUGGUCCGGUACUGACGCUGCGGUGCGAAAGCGUGGGGAGCAAACAGGAUUAGAAACCCCAGUAGUCC
rnacentral:rRNA from 1 species